UACGUAGGGCGCGAGCGUUGUCCGGAUUUAUUGGGCGUAAAGAGCUCGUAGGCGGCUUGUUGCGUCGGCCGUGAAAACCUGCGGCUCAACUGCAGGCUGGCGGUCGAUACGGGCAGGCUGGAGUUCGGUAGGGGAGACUGGAAUUCCUGGUGUAGCGGUGAAAUGCGCAGAUAUCAGGAGGAACACCGGUGGCGAAGGCGGGUCUCUGGGCCGAUACUGACGCUGAGGAGCGAAAGCGUGGGGAGCGAACAGG
rnacentral:rRNA from 1 species